rnacentral:lncRNA from 1 species
GGCAGGAUUUGUUUUAUCCAACUCAUCCCUUGACAUCGUGCUUCACGAUACAUACUAUGUAGUAGCCCAUUUCCACUAUGUUCUAUCAAUGGGAGCAGUGUUUGCUAUCAUAGCAGGAUUUGUUCACUGAUUCCCAUUAUUUUCAGGCUUCACCCUAGAUGACACAUGAGCAAAAGCCCACUUCGCCAUCAUAUUCGUAGGAGUAAACAUAACAUUCUUCCCUCAACAUUUCCUGGGCCUUUCAGGAAUACCACGACGCUACUCAGACUACCCAGAUGCUUACACCACAUGAAACACUGUCUCUUCUAUAGGAUCAUUUAUUUCACUAACAGCUGUUCUCAUCCAUAUCACACAUUCGAGGAACCAACCUAUGUAAAAGUAAAAUAAGAAAGGAAGGAAUCGAACCCCCUAAAAUUGGUUUCA